rnacentral:lncRNA from 1 species
GAAAGGAAGGAGUUUGGGUCGUCGGUGACGGCGGAUUUUAGGGAGAGUAGAGCUUGGGUUUCGGAUAAUACGCGGCCGGUGGAAGUUGGGAUGUGGAGGUGGAUGAGGAGGAAGAAGAAGAGGAGAGGGUAAAGGAGUCUCAUCGUAGAUUGAGAAGAACACCUCACACUGCCCGUCCGGCGGGGGGAUCUCCCCGCCGAAGAAGUUCCCUCCGAGGUGGAGGUGGCGGAGGUUGGGCAUUUCAGCGACGGCGAGAGGCAAGUCACCGGUCAUAUUGUUGUUGUAGAUGUCGAGUACCUCGAGGUUCUUGAGCUGGGCUAGCUGCGAGGGGAAAGUAUCAUUAAACCCAUUGUUGGAGAGAUUGAGGUAGCGGAGGUCGGUGGCGGCGGAGAGCUGCGGCGGGAUGGGGCCAGAGAAUUUGUUGACGUCGAGGGAGAGGUUCUGGAGGUAGCGGAGGUGGGAGAUAUCCGGGGAGAGGGUUCCCGUGAGGGAGAGGCUAGAGAGGUCUAAUGAGGUCACGUGACGGCUGGAGAAGUCGCACGUGACUCCCGGCCAGGAGCAGAGGUCGGCGGAGGAGUUCCAGGCGGAAAGGAAGGAGUUUGGGUCGUCGGUGACGGCGGAUUUUAGGGAGAGUAGAGCUUGGGUUUCGGAUAAUACGCGGCCGGUGGAAGUUGGGAUGUGGAGGUGGAUGAGGAGGAAGAAGAAGAGGAGAGGGUAAAGGAGUCUCAUCGUAGAUUGAGAAGAACUAAUCGCCGCCGGAGACGGCGGAGGGAGGAGGAGGAGGAGGAGGAAGAGGAUGAUGAAGAAGGUAAGUGAGAAGAGUGAGG